CCUACGGGAGGCAGCAGUGGGGAAUAUUGCGCAAUGGGCGAAAGCCUGACGCAGCGACGCCGCGUGAGGGAUGAAGGUCUUCGGAUCGUAAACCUCUGUCAGCAGGGAAGAACGGUCACUGGGCUAAUCAGCAGUGAAUUGACGGGACAGGCAAAGGAAGCACCGGCUAACUCCGUGCCAGCAGCCGCGGUAAGAAGGAGGGUGCGAGCGUUAAUCGGAAUUACUGGGCGUAAAGCGCGCGUAGGCGGCAUGUCAAGUCAAGGGUGAAAUCCCCGCGCUCAACGUGGGAACUGCCUUUGAAACUUGCAACCUGGAGUGUGUGAUAGGAUAGUGGAAUUCCAGGUGU
rnacentral:rRNA from 1 species